rnacentral:rRNA from 1 species
UGCAAGUCGAACGAAGUCUUCGGACUGAGUGGCGGACGGGUGAGUAACGCGUGAGAAUCUGCCUAGAGGUCGGGGACAACCAUUGGAAACGAUGGCUAAUACCGGAUAUGCCUUACGGGGUGAAAGAUUAAUUGCCUUUAGAAGAGCUCGCGUCUGAUUAGCUAGUUGGUGAGGUAAGAGCUCACCAAGGCAGCGAUCAGUAGCUGGUCUGAGAGGAUGACCAGCCACACUGGGACUGAGACACGGCCCAGACCCCUACGGGAGGCAGCAGUGGGGAAUUUUCCGCAAUGGGCGAAAGCCUGACGGAGCAAGACCGCGUGAGGGAGGAAGGCUCUUGGGUUGUAAACCUCUUUUGUCAGGGAAGAACACAAUGACGGUACCUGACGAAUCAGCAUCGGCUAACUCCGUGCCAGCAGCCGCGGUAAUACGGAGGAUGCAAGCGUUAUCCGGAAUUAUUGGGCGUAAAGCGUCCGCAGGUGGCUGAUCAAGUCUGCGGUCAAAGACCGGGGCUUAACCCUGGAAAGGCCGUGGAAACUGAUAAAGCUAGAGUACCGUAGGGGUAGAGGGAAUUCCCGGUGUAGCGGUGAAAUGCGUAGAGAUCGGGAAGAACAUCGGUGGCGAAAGCGCUCUACUGGACGGUGACUGACACUCAGGGACGAAAGCUAGGGGAGCGAAUGGGAUUAGAUACCCCAGUAGUCCUAGCCGUA